UGCUCCUUUGGGCAAUAGACUGACAUUGGACCCAUACAGAGGAGAUUAGCAUAGCUCCUACACAGGAACGAAAUACAAAUCUGUAAAGUGUUAUUUAAAAAA